rnacentral:rRNA from 1 species
UACAGAGGGUGCGAGCGUUGUCCGGAAUCACUGGGCGUAAGGGGCGCGUAGGUGGCCCGACAAGUCACUGGUGAAAGCUCGACGCUCAACGUCGAGUCGGCCAGUGAUACUGUUGGGCUGGAGCACUGUAGAGGCUCAUGGAAUUCCGGGUGUAGCGGUGGAAUGCGUAGAGAUCCGGAAGAACACCGGUGGCGAAGGCGGUGAGCUGGGCAGUAGCUGACACUGAGGCGCGACAGCGUGGGGAGCAAACAGG